UUUUAAAACUUACCAAAAUGGGAAAAUUUUUUAAAGUGCUGAAUUCUUGAGGUGAGAUCACAGACACCUCCCACUGUCAAGUCAGACUGCAUUUCCAAUGGAAUUGGCUAAGGAUAUAAAAUUAUGCUGUAAGUGACGUGACCCCACAGAGUUGGUUUGGGCCCCAUGACUGGGUUCUGGCUAAUGAGAUGUGCGUGGAUGUGAUCUAAGCCACCCCUAGGGCUCACGCUUAAGGACAUGCCUGUGAUCCUGAAGUUUUCUUCCCCUGAUGUGUGCCACGUGUUCUAGAAGGCGGACACACAAGAUGAAAGCAGGUGUGAUCCCUGCAUCACCAUUUGGAGGAAAGUUGCAUUAUCCUCAUGGAAUGUGAUGAGCAAGUAGUUGAUACCUAUUGUUUUAAGCCAAGGAUAGUUCAGGACAUAUGAUUUACACAGCACAGCCUGCCCUAAUACAGGAUACCAGUUCAGUGAUGAAAACACUGGACUCAAAGUCAGGAGGCGUAGAUUCUUUGAUGUUGAACUAUAAGAAUUUGUUGGUUUUUAACAGUUUUUGAUACUCAAGUGGCAGUUUCACAUGAUUCACCACAGUAAUUCAUGUGACCCCUGACCAGCUUGAUAUGUGACAUUGAAUUAGUCCAUUACUCCCAUCUGGAUCUCACUUUUCUCAUCCGUAAAAAUCAGAUCUAAUAAACAUCUAUAGAACACUCCACCCAGUAACAGUAGGAUAUACAUUCUUCUCAAGGACACAUAGAACAUUUAUCCUGAUAUUUAUGCUAUAGGCUAAUCUGUAAAAUAAGCCCCAGUACAUUCUUAAAAAUUAAAAUCAUACAAAGUAUGUUCUUUAACCACAAUGGAAUUAAACUUGUUAAUAAAUUAACAACAGCAAGAAAUCUAGGAAAUUUACAAAUAAUGUGGAAAUCAAAUAACACACUUAAAUAACCAAUGGGUCAAAUAAAUCACAAGUAAAAUUAGAUGUAUUAGUUCGUUUUCAUGCUGCCGAUAGAGACAUACCUGAGACUGGGCAGUUUAACAAAAGAAAGAGGUUUAAUGGACUUACAGUUCCACAUGGCUGGGGAGGCCUCACAAUCAAGGUGGAAGGCAAGGAGGAGCAAGUCACGUCAUCAAUGGAUGGCAGCAGGCAAAGAGAAAAUUAUGCAGGGGAACUCCUCUUUGUAAAACCAUGAGAUAGGCAGAAGGUGGCUCCAGUGGCUGUGGUGGCAGCAUGAGCAUGAGGAGGUGGUGGCUGUGGCCGGGCACAGGCAUAAUGGAUAGGUAACAGAGAAGACCUCGUCCCUUCCUAGUCAGGACAUCGCAUGACCAAGUGCUUCCUGCCCCCCACCAGCAACCCCAGUGAACACCACGGGUUGGAGCAUGGCAGUGGGCUUACCCAGACCCCCAGCUCUGAAGAGAUCAGCCUUACUAAGUUUCCUGGAUCGUACUGCACUGGCGAGCCCUCGCCUCCCCAUGACAUCCUCCACAAGCCUCCUGAUACAGUGUCCGAUGAAGAGAAAGACCAUGGGAAGAAAAAAGGAGAUUUUAAGAAAAAGGAAAAAGGAAAAGGAAAAGAGGAGUGAAGGCUGUGCAGCCUUUCAUGAAGAUAGCUCUGGAGAUGAGGCAGAAAGUCCUUCUAAAAUGAAGAGGCCCAAGGGAAUCCAUGUGUUCAAGAAUCCCAGCUUUUCUAAAAAGAAGGAGAAGGAUUUUAAAAUAAAAGAGAGACCCAAAGAAGAAAAGCAUAAAGAAGAAAAGCACAAAGAAGAAAAACAUAAAGAGAAGAAGUAAAAAAAAAAAAAAAAGUCAAAAACUUGACAGCAACUGAUGUUGUUAAAACAUGGAAAGAAAAGAAGAAAAAGAAAAAGCCAAUUUAGGAGCCAGAGGUGCCUCAGAUUGAUGUUCCAAAUCUCAAGCCCAUUUUUGGAAUUCCUUUGGCUGAUGCAGUAGAGAGGACCAUGGUACAUGAUGGCAUUUGGCUGCUGGCCAUUUUCCAUGAAUUACGUAGAGAAGUAUGGCAUGAAGUGCGAAGGCAUCUAUAGGGUAUCAGGAAUUAAAUCAAAGGUGGAUGAGCUAAAAGCAGCCUAUGACCAGGAGGAGUCUACAAACUGGGAAGAAUAUGAGCCUCACACUGUAGCCAGUUUGCAGAGGCAGUAUUUGCGAGACCUUCCAGAGAAUUUGCUUACCAAAGAGCUUAUGCCCAGAUUUGAAGAGGCUUGUGGGAGGACCACGGAGACUGAGAAAGUGCAGGAAUUCCAGCGUUUACUCAAAGAACUGCCAGAAGGUAACUGUCUUCUGAUUUCUUGGCUCAUUGUGCACAAGGGCCAUCUCAUCGCAAAGGAACUGGAAACAAAAAUGAAUAUGCAGAACAUUUCUGUAGUGCUCAGCCGAACUGUGCAGAUCAGCAAUCUAGUCCUGUAUGUGUUUUUCACACAUGUGCAAGAACUCUUUGGAAAUGUGGUACUAAACAAGUGACAAAACCUUGGCAAUGGUCUAACAUGGCCAUGAUGCCCACACUGCCAGAGACCCAGACAGGCAACGAGGAGGAGAUCAGGAGACAGGAGUUGCUUUUGAAUUGUUUACAUCAAGAUCUGCAGGGUGGGAUAAAGGAUUUGUCUAAAGAAGAAAGAUUAUGGGAAGUACAAAGAAUUUUGACAGCUCUCAAAAGACAACUGAGAGAAGCUGAAAGACAGGAGUGUGAAACCAAGAUUGCACAAGAGAUAGCCCGUCUUUCAAAAGAGGCUGUUUCCAAAAAAGAAAUGAAUGAAAAUGAAGAAGUUAUAAAUAUUCUCCUUGUUCAGGAGAAAGAGAUCCUGACUGAACAGGAGGAGGUCCUGGCCAUGGAGCAGUUUCUGUGCCAGCAGAUUGCCUCAGAAAAAGAAGAGAUUGCAGAAAUUCAGAGUCGCCAGCAGCAGGGCUUAAGCAAGACUGAGGAGUACUCCUCCAAGAGCGACAGUGAGGAUGAGGAGGAGCCGCAGAUCACUCUGGAAGAUUUACAGAGACAGAACGAAGAGGUGGAAAUAAAGAACGAUCAUUUGAAUCAAGCAAUUCACAAGGAGCGUGAGGCCAUCAUCGAGCAGUUCCAGCUGCUCCAGAUGCAGCCAGCCACGGCCGAGCAGCAGGCGCAGGAGGACGAGGAGCCCGAGUGGCGCACAGGUGCUGUCGAGCCGCCCAGAGACGGCGUCCUCGAGCCGAUAGCAGCUAAAGAGUAGCCAAAGGCAGGCAAGGAGCCUGUGAAGCCAUUGCCCAGCAGGGACAGUAAGGAGACGUCCGUCUGAGCAGCCUGCGCCACCGUCUAGAGUCCGCGAGACUGAAAGGACCCGUGCAUCUUAUUGUAACCCGGGGGCCAGGCCGGCUCUCUCGCUGUACAUUCUGUAAAGGUGUCUUCUCUUCUCACACUCUUCCUCUGUCACACGUCUGACUCCUUCGCAUCAGGCUUAAGUUCCAUGGGAGGACAAAGCAGUGGAUGCAUUGUGGGCUUUAGGGACAGAUGAGUUUUCCAGAUAGUGUCAGCGUAUUAAUUUUCUUCCUUAACUUGAAAUAACAAUUUUAACCCUUGAGCGGCUUCUUUUUAAACCAAAAAUCGUCUUUCUUUGCUUUUUUUAUCGCAGCAGAAUCAGGAUCUCCUUUUCAUUCAAAGGGGAACCACACCAGGUCAAUGCUGCGCCCUCCGUGAUCUCUGGUACCUUCACUCUUGCUUGUGCCUUCAACACCUUCUUGGUGCAGAUCCCUAUGGGGGAGCUGCCUCAGGUUCUCUGACUGGUCAGAGCGGCACCUGGUGGGUGUUCCCUGGCCCGCCCUCCUAACUCUCUCCUUCUGCAGUUCAGUUCUAAACCACAGUCCAUAAGCCCGAGUCACCAGGAUGGCCUAUCUGGCCACAGACGGGCUGCCUGUGGAGUCCGCCCACCUACCCCAGGCAGCGCAGGCCAGCCGAGAGGCCGCCCAUUCCCACUGGUUCCUCACUGGGGGGACCAGAAAAGGCCUUCCCACUGGGUUGGUCGAAGGUAGUCACCUUGGCCUGGUGCAUCCACAGAGGAUGUUGCUCAAACCAGAAAUCUUUUAAACGACUGACCUUCCUUAAAAACAGAAUGACUCCGAUUGCUUGCUUGGGCUAGAAUGUACACGUCUUCUUGCCUGAAUAAGCCAUAUAUGUGCUCUGAAACAAAAGUUUGAAAUUACCCAUAUCAUCUCAGUGAACCUACUGGUGGGUUCCCAAUUGACAAGACUGAGCAAUAAUAAAAAAAAAUUCCUUUCCUUUGAAUCAUAGCUGUGAUUCACCCCGCCCCAUUUUCUUGUUUCUGGUCCAUCCAAUGAGACUGAUGCUCUGAUGCUCUGAAGCUUCUGGGAGGCCGGGCUCUGGAGGCAACGUGCUGCAGGUGCACUCUGUCAGAGUGAAUAGCACCGUGAGACAGGCCAGGCUCGUGGCUCGGAAGACAAACCCCACACACACUCAAGGAAACGAAAACAAACCCCACCCGAGGGCACUCUCCUCCUGCUCCUAGGUAGUAUUUAUUUUCAGCACCUGUUUGAUGCAGUUUUUAAUCCUCUACCUAUUGCACUGUUGUGAGUCAUUGGCCAUUAUUUGAUUUUUGUACGGAAAAAGAAAGCUUUCUUAUAGAAAUCGGCAUACUGUUUUUUAAAUCUGGAGAGAAGAUAUUCUGGUGACUGAAAGUAUGGUCAGGUGUCACAUAUCAAUGUGCAAAUGCCUUCUUGCUGUCCUGUCGAUCUCAGUACAUUCACUUUAUAGCUGCUGGUAUUACCGAAGCUUCCUUUUUUGUUUGUGUAAACUCUAAUUUCUAUCAAGGUGUCAUGGAUUUUUAAAAUUAGUAUUUCAUUACAAAUGUCUCAGCAUUGGUUAACUCGUUUUUGCCAGGACCAUUAUUGAUCAAGCAAAUAAGUUCAACAGCCAUUUGGGAAAA